GAGGACGUGCUGGUUGUUUUUUUUUUUAAUAUUUGACCUACUUUGUUCAUCUGUUGAGGAAAUGGUGCGAAAGUAUCUUGCAAAAACUGAUCGAGGAAGAGCCGAUGGGAACUUAAUGGAGAGAGCUGUUGACGAAGUUGUCAAAGGAAAGUCCAUCAGGGAAGUUAGUCGUUUGCUGGAUGUAAACCGGAUUACAUUGUCAAGAUAUGUUAAGAAAUUCCAAGCAGGGCAAGCUGAAAAAACAAAAGACUAUGCUCCUAACUACAAUACCAGACAGGUAUUUACUGAAGAAGAAGAAGACGGACUUUCUGAAUAUAUCGUAACUUGCUCCCAGUUGUUUCAUGGCCUUGGCUUGACAGCAGUAAGACGACUUGCAUUUGAAUAUGCAAUGAAGAAAGAUAAAACUUGCCCAGAUUCUUGGAAACAUAACUGUAUGGCAGGAAAGGACUGGAUGGCUGGAUUUAUGAAACGUCAUUGCAAGAUCUCCCUUCGUUUACCAGAGUCAACCAGUGUGGCAAGAGUGCAAGGUUUCAACAAGAAAUCUGUGGGGGAGUUCUUUGAUAUAUGGACCAAAACUCAGGCUGAGAAGAUUUUUGGACCAGAAUCCGUGUACAACCUUGAUGAAACAGGGAUCACUACUGUGCAGAAUGUUCCAAAAAUUUUGGCUACUCGAGGACAAAAGCAAGUUGGACAAAUUGCAGCAGCAGAGAGAGGGACACUCAUUACUGUAUGCUGCUGUGUUAAUGCAAUAGGAAGAAGCCUACCUCCUGUUAUGAUA